GGAAAAUCGCAUUAAAAAUAUCAAUCUCUCAACAGAAACAAAGAUAAAUAAACCAUUGACAUGAAUCCGUCCAUUAAACUUGUCGCUGAUCUCUGGAGCUGAAUAAUGACAUGGUCAUGAUAAGCCUCAAAUUUAUUUCAAAACAAAAAUAAAUAAAAGAAAAAUAUUCCCAAGUGUUAAAAAUAUAUAUUCAGAUCUCAACAAAGUUCAUAUAUGGCAAUUAGACACAAGCAUCCAUAAAGAAGCAGUGCAAAGAUUCCAUUUUCUUCCUUUUCAGGGUCAAGAUUUCCAGAUGACAAUCCUGUUCUGAUGCAAUGUUAAAUAAACUUGAAACUCAGAAUCGAAAUAUGGCCGCCUUCAUGCUUUUCAGAUGGUCACUCAGUUGCUGCACCUGGCCAAAUUUUAUUGUUCUUUUGCACUUCAAACCAAAACAGCAUCCAUAGGAGAUGUGGAGAAGAGAAAACAAAAUAAUACAUAUACAAACCAAAUCAGUUUGAGAUGUUGAUGUCAUAGUUUACGCUUUGUGAUUUUUUGCCAUCUCCUCCACAUCCAGCUCCACUUCUAACACUGGCAAAUCCCUGCGCAUGCUGAAAUGACUGUUCUGAACAGGACCAUGAUCCACAGCUGUUCGUAGACAAUAUAUGACUCGGCCAACUAUGUCCGUCAUGGGAACUGGACCAAAUAUUCGACUGUCGUUUGCUUCCUGUGACACCAACUCACACCCCAAAAAAGUAAAUAAAGGACAAGAAAAGGAAAGAAUUAAUCAGGUUUUGCCCAUGCCUUUGAGUAACUGAAAGCCAACAAAAAUUUACAACUGAUCUUAAUUACUCCAAACAAAAGAAAAACAAUAACAAGAUGGUGGUGAUGACGAUGAUGAAGAGUGAAUACACAAAAAUUUGGUUUACACUGCAAGAAAAGAACAUAUCAUAAUUUAUGGCACAGUGCUCAUCCAAAAUGAACAGACAUGGAAUAAAAGGUAUUCAGAAGUAGAUAAGUACAUAUAAUUAUACGCAUCCAUACACUUUGAAUGCUCUGAAAGGAGAAGAGCAGGAGCCAUGCAUCAACUUAUCGUGAGCAUGCCACAAUGACAUCUUCUACCAUCAACAGACUUAAUUUGCAGAUUCUAAUUUACCACAUGGUACUUUUGUCUAGAAAAGAGAAAGGAAGAAGAAAGAAAAAGCGAGCUUGCCCUACAGCUAUAGUCUAUUUUCUUUUUCACCUGAAGAACUGAAGAUUUACCAACAAGGGGAAUGAUAAAGCAAAAACGAAUGGCAAGAUAGACAGAUCUUGCAUGAGAAGAAUGGUAGGCAUAAACAAAGAAGAUAGGGUGUGCAAAAAGUGACUAAAAGCUCGCAGCACAUAAAGAGUACAGAAUUAAAGCAUCAGGCAAGGUCAACAAACAAGAACAAAUCAUCCAAAUAACGUUGUAAUCUGAUCUUUUCAAUUUAGACAUUCAGUGACUCAUUUUUUCUUCAUACUUAAACUGAAAAGAAGAAAAGCCAAGUAUUAUUAUAAAAAAGAGUCUAGAACCAAAGCAAUUAUUGGAACUGUUAGAUAUUUUGAUUAUCCUACCUUUUUGUUAUAGGGAGAAGAAAGGCACCAGGUUAUUUUGCCAACAGUUAUGAAUGUCAGAACCCAAAUAAUAUAACUGCAUCCUUUACAAAAAUAAGAUCGAUACUUGAAAGAUCAAACGCAAUAUAAUUCAUGAAGAUAAAUUGGAUUUCUUGAAAGCGUAAUUAUUUUUUAAGCCAAUCUCAAGUUACAUUAUCAUGUAAAACCAGUAUUUGAGAUGUCUUUAUUCUACAGCGAGACCAACAUAAAGUAAAGUAAAUGGUGAACAUAAUGACUCAAAAUUGGUGCUCAAAAUUGGUGACUACAAAAAGUAAAUUCCAUGAAUGAUUACAUAUUGUAGAAAAUAAAACGUCAAAUUCAGCUAUGCUUUCCUAAAGAACAUAAGAAAAUGCGAUGGAUUUUAGUCCGAUGUGUCCGCAUAUACUGAUCAAAUCUCAUAUUUGCAAAACAGCACAUACCUUGGGCUUCAACUUCUCAUUGUCAG
rnacentral:misc_RNA from 1 species